GUCCCUUCGGGGACAUCCGAUAAAAUUGGAAAUAUACAGAGAAUAUUAGCAUGGCCCAAGGAUGACACGUACAAAACGAAAAAUCUAUAUAUGUAU
rnacentral:snRNA from 1 species